UCUCCGUUGGUGAACCAGCGGAGGGAUCAUUACCAGAGUUUUACAACUCCCAACCCUGCUGUGAACCUACCUAUUGUUGCUUCGGCGGACUCCCCCCACCGGUCGAACGGCCCCGCGCCGGCCCGCGACCUGGACCCAGGCGGUCGUCGGAGAACACACGAUCCUGUAUCCAUCAGUCACUCUGAAUCCGCCGCAAGGCAAAACAAACGAAUCAAAACUUUCAACAAUGGAUCAAUUGGUUCAGCCACCGAUUAAGAACGCAUCAGAUCAAAAGAGCAC
rnacentral:misc_RNA from 1 species